GCUCGGAUGGUGUAGUUGGUUAUCACGUCAGUCGUAGGUUACCCCGGCUCCAAGCCCACAGCUCCACAUUGAAAAUUUCAAUAUUAACAUCAAAGCAGUAACACUAGUUUCACUGAAGGUCCUGAGUUCAAACCUCAGUCCGAGUA